UACGUAGGGAGCAAGCGUUGUCCGGAAUCAUUGGGCGUAAAGCGCGCGUAGGUGGCCCCAUAAGUCCGCUGUGAAAGUCAAAGGCUCAACCUUUGAAAGCCGGUGGAUACUGUGGGACUAGAGUACGGAAGAGGCGAGUGGAAUUCCUGGUGUAGCGGUGGAAUGCGCAGAUAUCGGGAGGAACACCGGUGGCGAAGGCGGCUCUCUGGGCCUGUCCUGACGCUCAUGCGCGAAAGCUAGGGGAGCAAACAGG
rnacentral:rRNA from 1 species